AACUCAUGGUUGGGACACUUCCUCAGCAACAUCUGGAAACGCUCCCAUGCCUCAUAAAAAGCUUCCUCAACACCUUGUCUAAAUGUUGAGAUUUCGAACUUUGCAUGC
rnacentral:snoRNA from 1 species